GAACACUUGGGGGCGGCCCUAUUAAUAUUUUGAGGAGAGACAUCAGUUUAAAAGGGGUGAGAACAUCAACAUCAGCGGCGCAUAAUAAAAGUUGGGGGAGACAACAAUAAUAUAACAUCACCUCUAUUCGAUCAAAAAGGGGGACGCACAAUCAGAGAGUAGGCGAUCAAGAGAAAAAAAAGUUUAUUGGAUCGAGCUUCAAGAUUGGGAUUUAAGAUUCGGGUCGAUUAGGCAACGAGUUAUUGUUCGGAAUACAUUAAGUUAUCGCAGGAAAGAAUGGUUUGUCUGUAGCGGUAAUCAUUGAGGCUGAAGAUUUGGUGAAACUAUCAGAGCCUUGCGAUUUGGAUAAAUCUUUUGCAAUUAGCCAAUCAAUACAAGAUGACGGAGUUAAAGGUGGAUUAAUUGCUUUAUACAGGAACAUCUAGAAAGCUGUGGAAGUUAAUUCAUCAAACAAGAAUAUUACACUUAUAAUUGAUGAUAAUUCUCUUCUGGAAGUGGCUGCUAAUGGUUCUACAAAAGACAUUCUAAAUUUGAUGCAUUACUACCAUACAUUAACCACACAAUUUAGCGUUGUACAAUAAUUACUGAUCUUCAUGAGGACAUUUAUUCAAGUGGAGAUGGAUUUACAUUUCCUUUACAAAUGGAGUACCUUGCUGACAUCACCAUAAACUGAGCCUUUGAUAACCGGGUUGGCAGCAGAUGUUCACGCUUUUGUAGCGUUUAGAUUGAUUUGAGUGUGUGAGUUAGGACAGGCCAACACUUUUACAGGUAAAUAGCUGUUGGUAAAUGAUCCCGCUUCAAUUUUUCAGCCAGUUUCUGUUGAUCAGUUCAUAAUCAUUUCGAUCUCAAUUGUAAAAAGUUGGUUAAUCGAUGGAAGUAGUGAGUGUUUCCGUUAGUUCUCCAGUGUUUAGGGCUUCUGUGUUUGAUUACUGUGUUCCGGUUCGGAAGAAGACAGUUAUCGAUCGGAAGUUUGUGUUUAAUUGUAUGAAUUGUUCUUCACUCGAGGUAUAAACUGUUUUUAGAUGUUGUUUUUGACCUAAUUUUGUUGACUGAAUGUGUUUAGUUUGAGGAAUUUUGAUAACUGUGUGAUUGAGGUUAGUAUGAUACUAUCAAGUGUUGUUGAUUGAGUAUAUACAUACAGGAAUUUAGUAACGGCUUUAGCUAUUUUUGUGUAACAUUAAUAGAAAUAGUUGCGUUAUAUAGAUGAGAUUGAGUAAUCGUAGGAAUUUCGGUUAUUUUAUGCAGAAUUUUAGUGAGAUAUGAUGGAUCCAGAAGACCUACAAUCAGACCUACUUGCUUUGAGAAGGUUAUAUAGGCUUCUUGUACAAGAUGAACACUAUAUAGAAGAUGAAGCCUCAGAAAAUUUGUAGUUGUAGCAUUAAAUCUGUGUUCAUACGAUAACGCAAGACGUUUAUUAAUAAAUUCACUUGAUGCUGCUGCGAAUAAAACUUUCGAUGCUCAUGCAAAGAUUCUAGAUGCUCAAAUUAAGCAACGAAUAGCUUGUGGUCAACGCCGCAAGGGCCAUCUAGAGACGGGCUAAAUCUGCGAUCAUUUUCAAUGGGAAAAGCACCAACUAAUGCUGCUUAUGUUGACCUUUUAACUGGUGAUUGGAAUUUCAGUGAGUCAACUGAUCAAGCAGACCUUGCAGGUGAUCCUGGCACCAGAAUCAAAUGAUGCCGGGUAUGCCAGAAAACAAAAGUCAAACAGUUGACUAAAGAGAUUAGUUUUAGGGAUAGCAAAGCAUUGACUCCAUUUAAUGGUGUAUUUCUGUAAGACUGACCAAAACUAAAGACCAGGACAAAAUAGAAGUGUUAAUGGUAUUUUCACCAAACCAUGAUGACAUGGUAUUCCCUAAGGGGUACAAUACAUUCCUGGUGGUAAGAUUCAAAAACUCGAGCAGUGUGCAGCUACGCUUCUUAUAGGCUGCAGUUGUGGUUCUCUAUCUUUAAACGGCUCAUACACUCGAAAAAGGGCUCCAUUGCAUUAUAUGUUUGCUCAGGCUGAAUACAAGACUGUGAAGAAAGCAGCAAUGGUUUUUUCUUCUCAAUAACGAUUACAUUUGGGAUCGCUCUUGGGAUCGCGUUGUCGAAGACAUACAAAGAGAAUAGCCCAAGUUCAUUAAUCAUAGUUGGUUUACUCAACGCUUCAUCAGCUAGACUUCUUUAUCUACAUGGCAGUGGUCGAUUUCAAAUUAAGUCUUAUGCAACCGUCUUACCAGGAAACGACAUAGAUGUUAUCGAACAUAACGAGCCAAUUGCGAGCUUGGAGAGAAUUAGGGAAUAAGAGAUUCCUAGGGACACUAACCCAUUGGCGAUUGUGGCGGAUAAUAAUCUGAGAGUGGCAUCUUUAGAGAGAAUGCACUAGGCGUUGCAAGAUGACGCGAAGCUAGCGUCUUCAACUGUCUCAAUAGCAGCUGCUACUUCUGUUGCUAAAGUGGCUGCAGCUGCUGCUAAAAUCGCAUCAGACGUUGCUGAAACAAGCAAGAUUGAUGUCUGACGAAUUUUUUUUAUCAAAAAGAUUAGGUUUAAACACUCUUGGGUUAAAACAGUGUUUUAACCCGAGAAAAAGUGAAACCACUGUUUUGAGUUAAAACAGUGUUUUGAAAUCACUUUUGGGUUAAAACAGUGUUUGAAACCACUUUUGGGUUAAAACAGUGUUUGAAGCCAAAAGUGAUUUCAAAACACUAUUGGGUUAAAACAGUGUUUGAAACCACUGUUGGUUUCUUGGAUUUUUUUUAAAAAAAUUAAAAUAUAUUUCUGUGGUUUUUUCAUUAUGUGAAACAAAUGUUGAUGUUUUUUGUUUUUGCUAAAUUUAAAUGCUAUAGGUGUUGGAGAUCGGGCCCACAAUCAAGUGGGACAAAGGCAAGGCUCUUGAGUUUUUGUUAGAGUCACUUGGUGUUGUUCCUAUGUCAAGACGAUGAAAGUCAGAGACAUUUAGAGCACAGUACAUUGAUGCAAAAGAACUCAAGUAUGAUGGCAUUCCCUCUCACACAUUAUUUGGCUACCAUUAGCAUUCAACAGAUUGAUCAUUGAUCUGAUACUUUGUAUUUUAUUCUUUAUUUGUUUUGUUUUUUCUAGAGUGUCUGUUAGUACAUGGAAUGUUGCUGGGAAACUGCCACCAACUUUGGAUGUUUGUUUUUCCUUUUGUAAUAUUUGUUUUUGAAACAGAGGUUAGGAUUUCAAACAGUGGUAUGAGAAACAUAUGUUCGAAACCUUUGUUUGAUUACAAACAGAGUCUUGAGAAAUAGUGAUUUGGCGAAACAGAGAUUACCCUUUACCAACA